UGAAGCUGAUUGUAUCGAUAGGAAAAUGAGAUUAUGAUAGAUUCUAUAGCAGUAAAACUGAUGUAGCUUAAAGCUGUAAUAAAUAUUUACUAUAUUGUGUGUUGUCAUUGGAUCAAUGAGACAGAAUCUGGACAGGAAGUUAAAUAAUCCACUUACGAAAUGUUUCCAUUUUGUUUCCAAUUCUCAGGUGUCUUACAUUAGUCAAGACUGUGAAGAAAUUCCAGAAUUCCUAGGAAGAAUAUAUGGACAUAUGGCAAAAAGGCUAGAUCUUAGCUUCAACUUGUUAAGGAACCAGGUGUGAUCUGGUAUUUCCUCAUCACUGCUGUUGUGAAACGAGAGCGAAGGACUGCAGAAAUAACUGCUGUCUGAGGACAAGGAGCUUGACUGAAGGGAAGAGCCUGCAUUAACCCUGGAGCUAUUGUCUCUGUCUUUUCCUCUCUGUUCUGUUGAAAGGUAUCUUCUUCUCUUCUUAAUGCAAUGCACAGGAUUCCCAGCAUCCAGUUGCAGACGUAAAGAACUUGACUAGUUUUGCUUACCAAUCACUAAGAAAGGUCUCUGUUUUCCAGUGUUCAACAAACCUGCUGAGUGGUCAUGGUAAAAAUAGCUGGCAUUUGGUAGGUAAAAUCCCUACAAGGUUCUGUGUAUGCAUUGCUUGUUAGAUGUUGUCUUGUGUGGUUUGUGCCAUUUUUGAGAUCAUUCAUUUUCCGUAAAUCAUCUUUACAUAAAUUGUCUUGGAGGUGAUUUUUCAGUUUAAAACGACAAUCCCCAAACCCUUAGCUCAUGCAAGUGUGAAGAACGAGCAUCAUAGAAGUGCAAAAGGGCCAUGCGUUUUAUUCAAGCUCAGGAGCCAGCGUGUCAAAUCAGACAUGCUAUACAAUAAUUAUACUGUCUUUAAGGUCAUAGUUAAUGCAGUGUUAUAGCUCAGUUGCAGGCUUUACCCAUGAACUGAUGCUGGCAAUCAUGUGAAAUUUUGCAAUUUUUAUUUCUGUUUUUGUUUUGUUUCUCCUAGUGUCUCUUUCCUGCCUGUUUUGCCUGAGUUGCUCACUAGUGCAGUUGGAAGAUCAUUUCCUUUCUUGAUAAUUUCUUCUCCAUUUUUAACUUAAUUUGCCCAUUGAGUCUGUAAGUGGCAGCAGUGAAUGUGCUUCAUAUAAUACAACCAUAACAGUUUGUUCAUUUUAAAAGUAAUCUUGUUGCUCAUGUUAGUAGGACCCCUUGCUAUGGUGAAAAGUUAUAGAAAUCACUUAAAAAAAAAAAAAAACCAAAACACAAAUAAGAAAUGCAAUAUAUCUAAUGUUAGGGCAUCGUUUGUAAUCCAUCCAAAUGUCUAGGGUGUUGAUAAGCACUUGAAGAGAAGCUAUUUAAGUGUGGUCCAAUUUGCAAGAGCUUACAUCUCUAAUGUUUUUCCUGUGCAGUCGGUAUAUGAACUAUACUGGUAGGUACUAAUACUUGAAUGUGUGCACACCUCGAGGUCAUUUUUUCAUAGAAAGCAUAGUGUGUGUGGGAUGAUGUUGUCCAAAGUAGUUUACUGGCAUCUAAUACAUAUAUGCACACACAGAGACAUGCAUAAAACCCAACAUCUUUUAUAUAAACUUCUUUAUAAUAUAUGUGUAAUGCCUUUAUGUAUAUUAUAUGUACAAUAAAUAAAUUAUAUUUUUAAUAUAUGAACA
rnacentral:lncRNA from 1 species